GGCUACCCACAGCUCAGUACGGAGGAUCCAGCGCACACAUGCAUUUAUUUCACUUUUUGUACAGACUUCACAAGAAAAAAAACCUCAAAGCACAGGUCUGAAAUGGCAAAGGAUAAAUAGGAAAGACUUUUGGCUAAUCUGUUAACACAUGGCUGCCAGGUUGGAUUGUGCUAAUUUUAUUUGUGCAGUUCAGUCUUCAGUGAUGUAGGGAGGAGUACGAAACAAUACUGAGACCAUAUGUUCCGAUUAACACAACUGAAUUCAAAGCAAUGCUUUUCUCUGCUCAGCUGGAAAACAAGCCCACAGUUUUCAGUGCUGCCAUAUAAGUGUUCAGAAGUAAGAUGACAAAGAAACAUAGAAAGAUCCCUUAAUUCACAUCAAAUAAGAACAGGGGUUCUUAUGAGAAGAACAAGCUGGUCAUUCCUGAAAACCUCAAAAC
rnacentral:lncRNA from 1 species